rnacentral:rRNA from 1 species
GGCUCAGGACGAACGCUGGCGGCGUGCCUAACACAUGCAAGUCGAGCGAAUGAAGUUCCUUCGGGAACGGAUUUAGCGGCGGACGGGUGAGUAACACGUGGGCAACCUGCCUCAUAGAGGGGAAUAGCCUUCCGAAAGGGAGAUUAAUACCCCAUAAGAUUGUAGUCCCGCAUGGUACAGCAAUUAAGGGAGCAAUCCGUUAUGAGAUGGCCCCGCGGCGCAUUAGCUAGUUGGUGAGUAAACGGCUCACCAAGGCGACGAUGCGUAGCCGACCUGAGAGGGUGAUCGGCCACAUGGGACUGAGACACGGCCCAGACUCCUACGGGAGGCAGCAGUGGGAAUAUUUGCACAAUGGGGGAAACCCUGAUGCAGCAACGCCGCGUGAGUGAUGACGGCCUUCGGGUUGUAAAGCUCUGUCUUCAGGGACGAUAAUGACGGUACCUGAGGAGGAAGCCACGGCUAACUACGUGCCAGCAGCCGCGGUAAUACGUAGGUGGCGAGCGUUGUCCGGAUUUACUGGGCGUAAAGGGAGCGUAGGCGGAUUUUUAAGUGAGAUGUGAAAUACUCGGGCUUAACCUGAGUGCUGCAUUUCAAACUGGAAGUCUAGAGUGCAGGAGAGGAGAAGGGAAUUCCUAGUGUAGCGGUGAAAUGCGUAGAGAUUAGGAAGAACACCAGUGGCGAAGGCGCUUCUCUGGACUGUAACUGACGCUGAGGCUCGAAAGCGUGGGGAGCAAACAAGAUUCGAUACCCUGUUAGUCCACGCCGUAAACGAUGAAUACUAGGUGUAGGGGUUGUCAUGACCUCUGUGCCGCCGCUAACGCAUUAAGUAUUCCGCCGGGGGAGUACGGUCGCAAGAUUAAAACUCAAAGGAAUUGACGGGGGCCCGCACAAGCAGCGGAGCAUGUGGUUUAAUUCGAUGAUACGCGAGGAACCUUACCCGGGCUCGAACGGUGCAUGAAUAUACGAGAGAUUGUAUAGUCCUUCGGGACAUGUAUCGAGGUGCUGCAUGGUUGUCGUCAGCUCGUGCCGUGAGGUGUCGGCUUAAGUGCCAUAACGAGCGCAACCCUUGUCAUUAGUUGCCAUCAGGUCAAGCUGGGGACUUUAAUGAGACUGCCACCGUAAGGUGUGAGGAAGGGGGGGAUGACGUCAAAUCAGCACGGCCCUUAUGUCCGGGGCGACACACGUGUUACAAUGGGAGGUACAGAGGGCAGCUAUCCGGUGACGGAAUGCUAAUCUCCAAAACCUUUCUCAGUUCGGAUUGGAGUCUGCAACUCGACUCCAUGAAGGUGGAUUCGCUAGUAAUCGCGCAUCAGCCAUGGCGCGGUGAAUAAGUUCCCGGGCCUUGCACACACCGCC